UACGGAGGAUCCAAGCGUUAUCCGGAAUCAUUGGGUUUAAAGGGUUCGUAGGCGGUUUUGUAAGUCAGUGGUGAAAGCCCAUCGCUCAACGGUGGAACGGCCAUUGAUACUGCAAGACUUGAAUUAUUAGGAAGUAACUAGAAUAUGUAGUGUAGCGGUGAAAUGCUUAGAGAUUACAUGGAAUACCAAUUGCGAAGGCAGGUUACUACUAAUUGAUUGACGCUGAUGGACGAAAGCGUGGGGAGCGAACAGG
rnacentral:rRNA from 1 species